AUUGAACGCUGGCGGCAUGCCUUACACAUGCAAGUCGAACGGUAACAGGUCUUCGGAUGCUGACGAGUGGCGAACGGGUGAGUAAUACAUCGGAACGUGCCCGAUCGUGGGGGAUAACGGGGCGAAAGCUUUGCUAAUACCCCAUACGAUCUACGGAUGAAAGCGGGGGAUCUUCGGACCUCCCGCGGACGGAGCGUCCGAUGGCAGAUUAGGUAGUUGGUGGGAUAAAAGCUUACCAAGCCGACGAUCUGUAGCUGGUCUGAGAGGAUGAUCAGCCACACUGGAACUGAGACACGGCCCAGACUCCUACGGGAGGCAGCAGUGGGGAAUUUUGGACAAUGGGCGAAAGCCUGAUCCAGCCAUGCCGCGUGCAGGAUGAAGGCCUUUGGGUUGUAAACUGCUUUUGUACGGAACGAAAAGCCUCUUUCUAAUAAAGAGGGGUCAUGACGGUACCGUAAGAAUAAGCACCGGCUAACUACGUG
rnacentral:rRNA from 1 species